AUAGUAAUAAUAAUAAUAAUAAUAAUAAUAUAAGAUCCUUUAGACUAUAUAUGAGAUAACUAUAUAAGAUAAAUCAAAGGUUGCAGAUUAACAAUUUUAAUAAUAACGGUUCUGGAAUUCAUUACCAUCAGCGCAUAGAUGACACUAAACAACAAUAUUUAAACAUUAAUGCUGAAGAUCUAGCAAUGUGCAUAGAAACAACCAAAUUUCACAGAAUUUGCAGACAAUCAAAUCCCAUUCUAUUUACACACAAUCAUAAUAAUUGUGAAAUCGCAUUAUUUAAUAAGAACGAUGAUAAAAUUCCCGAUAAUUGUGACAAAAGGCUUAUAGAAGUAGAAGAAAGUAUCUUUAUUCAACUAACAAAUAAAAAUGCUUGGCUAUUUUUAAUACCGAAACAAGAACCUUAACUUUAACUUGCACACAUAAAAAUCCAAUAGAUAUUAAAUUAAGAAAUUCGGGUAUAGUUACGAUUGAUGAGAAAUGUAAAGCAUACGGUGGGCUAUUUAUUUUGAAUACAAGGCAAGACAUCGAUGGAGGAUCACUACCCGAGACUUUUGUACCAACAUUCGAUAUUACUGACGAGAUCCGAGCAUCAACCAUCACAUCGAGGACCUCAACGUACAAUCUCACAAGCUGGAGGAAUUAGACAAAAUAUUAAACCAGAAGAAGCCUUCGAAAUUUGAACAUCCAUGGUCCAUCAGUGGCUACACAAUAGUUGCUAUAAUGUUAAUCUUUACGAUUUUCAAAAUCAUUCGAAAGAUAAAGCAAAGGAGAAGAAGGAGAACAAUUAGAGCAGACGACCUUUGGUGCCAGGUACGCAUAUCUUCGGACAACAUGGAAAUGAUCCACACGUCACCCCCAACAGAAGAUAACGGAGCAUUCGUGAUAACUACAAAUACAAAAGCGAAUAGUGCAGUGUCGAUCGGACAGAAUUUUUAAAAUGAACAAGAAUGUGAAUAGGAAGUGAAACUAGAAACAAUAAUAAGAAUAGAAGUUUAAUGGAUUAACUUAGAACCAUAGCGCUUAAGAUUAAAUUAAGUUUCGUAAAAAAAAAAUAUAUAUAUAUAUAUAUAUAUAUAUAUAUACAUUUUUUUUUUCCGGGGAGGAUGGAGUGAUGUUAUGAGCGUAUCAUUUAUGGUUUAUUUAUGUUUAUUGCACAUUACUUGGAUUUUUGAGUUAGAAAUAUUGUGUAUUUAGUUUUAGUUUUAUAUUCUAUUACCAUUUAUUAUUUUAUUGAAAUUUCCCGGCCGAAGGGUACGGUUUGUACAGACCUACCGCACAUUAGCAUAAACAUUAUAAGGGUCAAUGACCCGAGCGGCUACCCUUGGUCCUUCUUUCUAGUGUAUUUUACGAUAAGUUUAGUUUAAGAUUAUUAGUGCUAAAAUUAUUUAGUCUUAGCUCAACCUCGGUGGAGUUCGGUCAGCCUUAUGAGCCAGAAGUAGAGUUUGUAAUUCGCCUCUUGGUCAAUAUUUUGUAAAUAAAGACUUAGUAGAAUCUUUGGCUCAGUUCUUCUUUCCGAAAGAAAUAAUAAGUUAGAAGAAUCGGGUUGUCUGAAGAGCAAAGGCUCACAACAUCAUCCCUAACACGCGAAUCAUUAAUUUAUCCGCGAAUCAUAAUAUUUCAACGUAAUUAAUAUUAACGUCUUAAUCUGAAGACUUUUUGAAAAUCCGAAAUAAAAAAAUCCGCGAUUUGCUUUUAUUUAAUUUGAAUUUGAACUGAUUGUAGUAUUACCGUAUUGCCGCAAACAUUGCACCGCGUUUUAUUAAAGUUUCAAUUAAGUGUUAUCGCGAACACUUUUAAAUAUUACAUUCGAGUAAAAUCAACCGGUCAACACACACACACACACACACACUAUAAACACUCACAUUACACUUUUGCUCGGUUCGUUUCGGCGAAUGCGGAGUUCCUGGGUAUUUGGUGUGUCUAGGCACACCCUUUACCUUACAUUCUCAACACAACACUACACGUUCUGUUCACGCAGAACAACACAAAUUAACACAAAUUAAUUCAAUGCAUCGCGCGCGGCAUUUUGAAGCAGAGAUUUGCUCUCUGCUUGCAAUAUAAGUAUGAAUGGCAUGCCUGUUGAAUGUUUAUAUUUUUGGUAUGAUUGUAUUGCACUGUAUUGUAUUUCAUUUCAUUUGUGUAUGUCGUGUUAAAUUUUGGGCAACCAAAAGCCGGCUGCUGCCGCUGGGAUGUGGCAGUCGGUCACUAUUGUUUUCGUUGCAAAACCGUUUUGCAUCCCGAGCACAGAUCGCCAAACGCGUCGGUGUUAGGCGGGUAUUUUUUUAUUAUAAUCGGUCUGUGCUCACAAAGCUAUCUCAUGUACUUAGGUAGGGACCAAAGGCAGGUCUUAUUAAAUUAGUUUUAAGUCUCCUACUCCUCUUAGAUGUGUGAAUGAUGAAUUGUUUUUAGAUAUUUGUGUACUAAUCUUUUUCCGCUUUCAGGAUAAUCGCGAUUUAGCUAUUGGUUGACAUUAGGCAGGGUUUUAGGUCCUUCCUUAUCCUUAUUAAUGUCUUUUUCUUACAGCAAUUUGUGUAUUUUUUAUAUGUUUUAUUGAUAUUUGUUUGAUGAUUUAUUAUGUAUUUGUAUUGUGAGUGUGAAUGAGUUCCAAAAAUCCAAAAAAUCCUUACUAAUGAAUUAUGAUUUUGUUUCAGUAACUAAUUAAAUAUUUCUUCUAUGUUUUCAGGGCGUUUUGUUUGAAUUGAUAAUUAAUCUUUUAAUAUAUGUUACAGGGUCCUGGAUGCUAUCCAAUCGUUGAUGUGUUUUAGAGUUGUUUUAUGUUUUAUUCUUGAAUUUUACUAAUCACAAAAUUGUUCUGCUUGUUUGUUUGUACAGAUUAAUGGAAAUCCUAAUGAAUUAUCAGAAACUACGAAAAAAUAAAUAAUAAAAAUUGCAAGAGUCAAGGUUGCCAAAGAAACGACAUUCGAACUUCAAAAAAGAUAUUACAAGAAACAUUGGAAUUGGAAUCAAAUACUGAUAACAACUUCAUGUACAGAGCAGUGCAGUGUAGUGAGAAGUGUAUUAUUAAUAGUGCGCGACUGUUGCAAUAUAGUGCCGGAGUGUCGUGAAAUAUUUAACAAUUCCUUUACAGAUCAACCGUUUUUAAGACAUGAAGAAACCAAGAUAGAUGAGAUUUUUCUCCAGGAUGUACCAAGAUAAGAGUACUUUUGUGGGCCCACUAAUUCAAAACGACAAUGGAGUUUACAAGCCGAUGAUAAAUCCGAAAUUAUCAAUUACAACGGAAGAAUUCAAAAUAGAAAUAGCGAGAAUUAAGAUUGCCAAAGACGACAUUAAAACCUCAAAAAAGAUACUACAUAAAACAUUGGAAUUGGAAAUUGGAAAACAUGUAGAAUUGGAAUAGAAUGUUGAUAUCAAUUUUAUGUGCAGUGCUGUGCAGUGAGAAGUGUAUUAUUAAUAGUGCGCCAGCGUGUCUAUAUAGUGCGGGAAAAUGAAAUAAUUCUUAAUAAUUCCUUUACAGAUCAACAGCAUGUUUUAACUGCACGAAAGUCAAUAAUCAUAGUCAUGUUGCACGUUCUUAUGUCUCGUUUUUGAAUGCGAAACAAGAAGAUCCUUCCAUCCUGAGGGCAAAGAAGAUCCUUCCAUCCUGAGGCCAUGGAGAGAUGAGGCGUUGUACUAAAAUAAGGCACAUUUCAAAGAGUUUCAGAAGAAGAAGAAGAAGAAGAAGAAGAUCCAUCCAUCCACGCCGAGGUCAGUCCUGAAGGGUAUGCACCAGAUUCAGCCUUCUUUCCGACCGGAAGAACUCUUGAGGGUCAGGGUCCGAUGUGUACACCCAUCAAGGAAUGGGCUGCUGCCCUUGGGGGUAUGUAAAGUUGGAAAGAAAUUGUGCUAAAGAAGAGGUCAAUGAUGUGCAGUUCCAUCCACGCCGAGGUAGAUCAUGAAGGAUGACCUAAUGUGAUGUAUCCAGUUUUCCAGCGAGAAAAAGCCUUUUGGGGUCAGGGUCCGAUGUGUACACCCAUCAAGGAAUGGGCUGCUGCCCUUAAGGGUUUGCACAACCGCAAAAAUGCUGUGAAGCUGGACUACAUAAUUUUUUCCCAACGCCGAGGUUUCAUCUAAAGGGGGGUGGGGGUAUCAAUAUACACACAAAUCCGAAAUAUUGGACACCGGGUUAAGUCCACCGCGAGCCCCACAUCACCUUUAGAAGUAGAUGCUUGGAUGUUGUAUACCCAUCUAGGAAUGGGCAGAUACUUCUGUCGGUGGUGAGGGGCACAUCAACAACACACACUACUCUUGGAGGUGAUGACAGAUGCACCCAUCUGGAACCUCUUAGAGAACUCGGGCGUCUUGUUAAUUCAUUAUAAUUUUGCUAAUUCGUUAUAAUGGACAACCGUGUCCAUCCGCGUUAGAAUCACGCGAACGACAAAGUACACAUCAACACACACUUUCAUAACACUCAUUACUUUACACUAACACUUAAUGAUGAGGUGGAGUCAACAGAAACAUUUAUUGUGAUGAUUUGUUUAAUUGGCUUAGUAUUUCUUUUAGUUUUUCGUAAUUUUAUGAAGAAACAUCAUGAAAUGAAGAAGAUUCGGAAGAAAUAUAAUGAAAGAUGUCACAUUCAAGUAAAAAGAAAGUAAUUGACAAAUAUUGAAGUAAGAGAUCUUUAUAUUUUGUGUUUUGUGUCGUUUUGGGUUGGUGUUUCAUAUGUUUAUGAACAGUUCGUAGUGUAGUGUAGUAGUAGAAAGCACGUAGUCGUAGUAGUAGUAGUAUGUAGUAUUAGUUGUAGUUAUAGACUAGUAGUAGAGUAGUGGACUGUGAAAUGAACAUUUGAAAUUCUAACAAAUUCUACACAAUUUACAAACAGUUAAAAAAGCUUCGGAAUAGAAAGAUUCCAAUGGAAAAUGUCAAGCAAAUCGUUAAUCAAAGAAAGAGGAUUCCAAGCAACUUGGCGGUUACAUAGUUUAAGAUUUUCUUUCUCAUUAAACAAUGUUUUGAUUUCAUAAUAUUUUAAUUUAUUGUUCAAUAAUCAAAAUAUUAGUCAAUCUAACAAGUGCA